UAGGCGUAAAUGAUGCGAGUUAAGUGUGGGGCAUCUACGAGAUGGCCCUGUGCUGUAGGGUAGCCGUUAAACUCGCUGCCUGGGGAGUACGGUCGCAAGGCUGAAACUUAAAGGAAUUGGCGGGGGAGCACCACAAGAGGUGGAGGCUGCGGUUCAAUUGGACUCAACGCCGGAAAACUACACCAGGAGCGACGGUUACAUGAAGGCCAGGCUGAUGACCUUGCCUGACAAGCUGAGAGGAGGUGCAUGGC
rnacentral:rRNA from 1 species